UAACACGUAAGCAACCUGCCUCCAAGUUCGGGAUAACCUUGCCAACGCGGGGCUAAUACCGGAUGUGGUCACGAAUCCGCAUGGUUUUGUGACUAAAGCUGACCUCUGCUUGCACGUUAGCGCUUGGAGAUGGGCUUGCGGCCCAUUAGCUUGUUGGUGGGGUAAUGGCCUACCAAGGCGACGAUGGGUAGCCGACCUGAGAGGGUGAUCGGCCACAUUGGGACUGAGAUACGGCCCAGACUCCUACGGGAGGCAGCAGUAGGGAAUUUUGCGCAAUGGACGAAAGUCUGACGCAGCGACGCCGCGUGAGCGAUGAAGGUCUUCGGAUUGUAAAGCUCUGUUGAGUGGGAAGAAAACCUUCGGGGACAAUACCCUCGGAGCUUGACGGUACCACUCGAGGAAGCCCCGGCUAACUACGUGCCAGCAGCCGCGGUAAUACGUAGGGGGCUAGCGUUGUUCGGAAUCACUGGGCGUAAAGGGAGUGUAGGCGGGAAGGUAAGUUAGGAGUUAAAUUCACAGGCUUAACCUGUGGCCUGCUCUUAAUACUGCCUUUCUUGAGUAUGGGAGAGGGUGAUGGAAUUCCAGGUGUAGCGGUGGAAUGCGUAGAUAUCUGGAAGAACACCAGUUGCGAAGGCGGUCACCUGGCCCAAUACUGACGCUGAGGCUCGAAAGCUAGGGGAGCGAACAGGAUUAGAUACCCUGGUAGUCCUAGCCGUAAACGAUGGAUACUAGUUGCUGGAGGAGUCAAUCCUUUCAGUGACGAAGUUAACGCAUCAAGUAUCCCGCCUGGGGAGUACGCUCGCAAGGGUGAAACUCAAAGGAAUUGACGGGGGCCCGCACAAGCGGUGGGGCAUGUGCUUUAAUUCGAUGCAACGCGAAGAACCUUACCUGGGUUUGACAUGGGAGUGAAAGGAUCCAGAGAUGGAACCCCUUCCGCAAGGAACACUUCACACAGGUGCUGCGUGGUUGUCGUCAGCUCGUGUCGUGAGAUGUUGGGUUAA
rnacentral:rRNA from 1 species